AUUAGUUUAUUAUUUCGUUAGUUUAUAUAAACCUUAAUAUUAUUUUCUUUGUGAUUAAGGUUAUUAUGCAUGAUCAUUGUGUCCCAAAUAAACUUUAAAGAGCACCUAUUAUGGGAUACACGUUUUUAAACAUCCUUUUGUGUGUAAGUGUGCAUUAGUACAUGCUAACGAUAUUCAAAAAGUACAUACCUCAAAGAAAACGAUGACGCGAGUUAUCGUCUCUAACGUUCGAGGACUACAAAAAACACUCGGAUUGUAGGCAACAGUUUACUUCCUGGGAUUAGUGACGUAGAUAAGACCAACAUUAUCAUAGUUCAGCCCUCUCUGCUUUGCUUGGGUACGCCCUCAAAGACGAGGGUGGGGUGGGGAGCGCCGAGUCAGAAGAGAGCUAAAAUGGCGGAGGUUGGGAGUCCCUGCUUUGACUCUGUUUGCAAACUCUUGUUUCAUUGUUUAAGCGAUUAAAUCUCUCGAGUAGACGCUGUCUCUUUAGAUGCGAGGGAAAAAUAGCACUUUAUGGACUUCCACAGAGGACAUCAUGUUUAAUACGGUUCCGGAAAAAUCCAGUCAGAAGUUGUUCACGGAGUUUUCACAAUAACUGCUUCUCAUGAACCGAAGCUGGAUUUGCGCGACGUCUCCUCUUGAAAGUUGGAUUACUGUGCACUUCUGGAUCACAGACUAUCCGCAGCUGUACACAUCCUUCUACACUGUAUGCAAACAUGCAACAUCAUUACACACAGUACAAGGAGUCAUACUGGCAUAUGAGGAGCAAAGGAACCCAGGUAGUAGCAUCGUUUCACAAUGUUUCCAUCAUCAUCAUCAGUGGAUGCCUUUGCCGUCCGUAGCCUGAGAUUUCAGAUUUGCAGCAAAAAAAAAAUGAUUUUCUCAUUUAUUGGAAUGCUGUGCAGGUAUUUGUACCUUGCAGCCAUCCAUUACAAUGUCACCAAGCCGUAACAAAAGCAGGAGAGGAAAAGUACAAGGCUAUGUUCCCAAAACACAAAUGACAUACCUUAUGUGGAUGAUGUGAUCAGGCUUGUGUUUGAUGAGGUAUUUGAAGAUAAGCUGAAGGAAACCCCGAUUCCAAUGGACCUGGCAUCACAGUUUGAGAGACCUUCAAAGGAGGACGUGAUUGCAUGCCAUCUUCAGUGCAGGGGUCGUCGGAAGCCAAAAUUGUGACCGAUCUGAUCAGGAAGCUCCAAGCGUAUCUGGAGAACAACACACGACAGGAUGAUAACCUUAUAGUGUCGUCUUAGAUAGCACCAGCUGACAAAGCUUUGAUAUGCCAUUUAUCUGAAUAGAUAGCUGUAAGAAAUGAAUUGAACAAUUUUUGAAACAAGAGCACAAUAUGGUUACUAAAGUAUGUUUAUUUGUAUAUUGUUUAACAUUUAAAUAUAUAUUUGUAAUAAAUAAAUAAAACUUUU